rnacentral:rRNA from 1 species
UACGUAGGGUGCGAGCGUUGCCCGGAUUUAUUGGGCGUAAAGGGCGCGUAGGCGGCUCGGCACGUCCGUUGUGAAAUCGCCCGGCUCAACUGGGCGGGGUCAGCGGAUACGGUCGAGCUUGAGCAAGCUAGGGGGCAAUGGAAUUCCCGGUGUAGUGGUGGAAUGCGUAGAUAUCGGGAGGAACACCAGUGGCGAAGGCGGCUUCCUGGACCGGUUCUGACACUGAGGAGCGAAAGCGUGGGGAGCGAUCCGG